UGUGAACUUGAUUUUACGCCGAACGUGGACCUGUUAAAACUCCCUAAAAAUGAUUUUUGUUUCAUAGUAAACAGACUUGAUUUAAAGCACCAAAGUAUAAAUUCCUAAAGCACCUGGAAGAAAUGUAACACUGCACCAAGGCAAGGCUUAAAGUCAACGGUAGGAAGGAGCCUUCAGACCCAACGGUUGUACGGCCCGGCGACUUGAGUGAGAGCGUAAGAAGACACUGUGAUGA